AGAGGUAGGCGGAAUGUGACAAGUAGCGGUGAAAAUGCAUAGAUAUGUCACAGAACACCGAUUGCGAAGGCAGCUUACUAUGAUGAGAUUGACGCUGAGGCACGAAAGCGUGGGGAUCAAACAGGAUUAGAUACCCUGGUAGUCCACGCCCUAAACGAUGAAUACUCGCUGUUAGCGAUACACAGUUAGCGGCUAAGCGAAAGCGUUAAGUAUUCCACCUGGGGAGUACGGUCGCAAGAUUGAAACUCAAAGGAAUUGACGGGGGCCCGCACAAGCGGAGGAGCAUGCGGUUUAAUUCGAUGAUACGCGAGGAACCUUACCCGGGCUUGAAAGUUAGUGAAUCAUUUAGAGAUAGAUGAGUGAGCAAUCACACGAAACUAGGUGCUGCAUGGCUGUCGUCAGCUCGUGCCGUGAGGUGUUGGGUUAAGUCCCGCAACGAGCGCAACCCCUAGGUUUAGUUGCCAGCACGUUAAGGUGGGGACUCUAAACAGACUGCCUGUGCAAACAGAGAGGAAGGAGGGGACGACGUCAAGUCAUCAUGGCCCUUACGUCCGGGGCUACACACGUGCUACAAUGGAUGGUACAGAGGGCAGCAAGCUGGCAACAGCAAGCGAAUCUCCAAAAGCCAUUCACAGUUCGGAUAGAGGUCUGCAACUCGACCUCUUGAAGUUGGAUUCGCUAGUAAUCGCAUAUCAGCAAUGAUGCGGUGAAUACGUUCCCGGGCCUUGUACACACCGCCCGUCAAGCCAUGGAAGUUGGGGGUACCUAAA
rnacentral:rRNA from 1 species